UUCACAAUGUAAGUCAUUCUAGCAUUUCCCACAUUCAUAUUGAUGUUAAUGAAUCUAAACAUAUGUAUGUGCUAGAUUCAUUAACAUCAAUAUGAAUGUGGGAAAUGCUAGAAUGACUUACAUUGUGAAA
rnacentral:misc_RNA from 1 species